AUCUGAAGUUAUGACUUUUAAAGCACCAGGUCCCUCCUGAUCUUGGAAGCCAAGCAAGGUCAGCCCUGGUUAGUACGUCGACGGGAGGCCACCAAUGAAUACCAGGUGAAACAGGCA
rnacentral:rRNA from 1 species